AGAGUUUGAUCCUGGCUCAGGAUGAAUGCUGGCGACGUGCCUUAAGCAUGCAAGUCGAGCGGGAUGGUAGCAAUAUCAUCUAGCGGCGGACGGCUGAGUAACGCGUAGGAAUCUGCCUUAAAGUGCGGGAUACCUCCUCGAAAGAGGAGCUAAUACCGCAUGUGAACGAAAGUUUAAAGGAGCUAACCCUCCGCUUUAAGAUGAGCCUGCGUCCUAUCAGUUUGUUGGUGGGGUAAAAGCCUACCAAGACUAUGACGGGUAGGGGGUGUGAGAGCAUGGCCCCCCAGAGUGGAACUGAGACACGGUCCAUACACCUACGGGUGGCAGCAACUGGGAAUCUUCGACAAUGGGCGAAAGCCUGAUCGAGCGACGUCGCGUGGGGGAUGAAGGCCUUCGGGUUGUAAACUCCUUUUGCUAGAGAACAAUCUAAUUGAGUUAACCUAGCGAAUAAGCACCUGCAAACUACGUGCCAGCAGCAGCGGUGAUACGUAGGGUGCAAGCAUUAUCCGGAUUUAUUGGGCGUAAAGGGUUGCGUAGGUGGUUUAGUAAGUCUUUUCUUAAAGACCCUGGCUUAACUAGGGUACUGGAGCAGAUACUGCUAGACUUUGAAGAAGUGAGAGGUCAGCGGAACUUAUGGUGGAGCAGUGAAAUGCGUUGAGAUCAUAAUGAACACCGAUGGCGUAGGCAGCUGACUGACACUUUCUUGACACUGAGGCACGAAAGCCAGGGGAGCGAAAGGGAUUAGAGACCCCUGUAGUCCUAGCCGUAAACGAUGGACACUAGAUGACGGGCCUUAUAAGUUCGUUGUCGCAAGCUAACGCGUUAAGUGUCCCGCCUGGGGAGUACGAACGCAAGUUUAAAACUCAAAGGAAUUGACGG
rnacentral:rRNA from 1 species